AGCACCGCAGCAACGCCAAGGACUUUUCUUCUCUGCAGCAGGUGGGAGCCCGCUCAGCGCCUGGGCAGCUACAGGAACCCCCAACACCCAAAGCCAAGAUGUCCAGCAAGAGAGCCAAGGCCAAGACCACCAAGAAGAGGCCCCAGAGGGCUACGUCCAAUGUCUUCGCUAUGUUUGACCAGUCCCAGAUCCAGGAGUUUAAGGAGGCCUUCAACAUGAUUGAUCAGAACCGUGAUGGCUUCAUUGACAAGGAGGACCUACAUGACAUGCUGGCCUCCCUGGGGAAGAACCCCACGGAUGAGUACCUGGAGGGUAUGAUGAACGAGGCCCCGGGACCUAUCAACUUCACCAUGUUCCUCACUAUGUUUGGGGAGAAGCUGAACGGCACAGACCCCGAGGACGUGAUCCGCAAUGCCUUUGCCUGCUUUGAUGAGGAAGCCUCAGGGUUCAUCCACGAGGACCACCUGCGGGAGCUGCUCACCACCAUGGGCGACCGAUUCACGGAUGAGGAGGUGGACGAGAUGUACCGUGAGGCGCCCAUUGAUAAGAAGGGCAACUUCAACUAUGUGGAGUUCACUCGCAUCCUCAAGCACGGCGCCAAGGACAAAGACGACUAGGCUCUUCUUAGCUGUCCCAAUGCCUACACCCCAUCCCAGUCACCUCCUCAACACAUACACUCUACCCUCCCCAUGAGGAGUUAGGGUCCCGGCUCCCAG
rnacentral:lncRNA from 1 species